GCUGGAAUAGCUCAGUCGGCAGAGCAUGAAACCCUUAAUCUCAGGGUCGUAGAUUCGAGCCCCACAUUGGGUG